rnacentral:rRNA from 1 species
GCUUGGUGGUUAUAGNAUGAGUGAAACACACGAUCCCAUCCCGAACUCGAAUGUGAAACCUCAUAGCGCUAAUGG